AUGAAUGAGUUCCUGGAUGCACACAGAUAUGCUGGACCACUUGGUGUAGCUGCAGAAAAAGCAACACCGAAACCACUGCAAGGAAAGAUGCUUAGCAGGCACCUGUGGCCGAACAAGCAGAGUCUGUUCCCUCCCCAGGAGGCUGCUGCUGUGAUAAAGUGUCUCUUUAUCCAGGCUCAUCUGCCUUUCUCUUUCUGGUCACAGCUGUCUUCUGCUAAUGAAGUGCACUUGUGUGAGGUUUUGAAGGUAGAAGAGAAAUGGAAUAUAUUCUUCUUCCCUGUGCAUCGAGGUUGGACAUGGAAGCUGUGAACUGAAGUUUGGCACUUGCCAUCAGCCUCUACAUGGAGUAAAACAGUCCCUGCAGCUGCCGACCCACAAGCCCCCUGAGCGGACCUCAGGGUGGAGGCCAGAGGGAGGCCCUCUGUGCUCUGGGGAUACUGGAAGAACAGGUCUUCAGAUGGUUAGACAUUUUUAGGAGAAGAUUUUAUGAGCCUGAUUCUUGCAUCUCCUCAUAUCUAGAAAAACACUAAAAUUCUUCAGUGAUGACUGAUGUUGGUGACUACUAGUAACCCUCAUGAGACCAGCAGCAAACUUCUACAAAACGUAUGCCUGGCUGCAGGCACCUCCCCCUUCACCUUUAUCACAUAUCAUGAUAUUCCCCCUUUGCUCUUUGGGGCAGUAUUUCAGACUAGUCAAGUGGACAAAAGAUGUCACAGUGACUCGCAAGGGUGGCUCUGUGAGCACUGAGGAAACCCAGAAAAGAAGCAGAGAAGAUUGGCCCACAGCUGAGAUGCCUAUCAAAGGAGUGAUUCCGCAAGCCCAGACCUUUGUAUUUCCCCAUGGAAAUGGCUUUCUGUAAAUCUUCUAUUCCUACUACCUUCCCUUUGUUGCAAAAACUCAUAUAUCCUAGCUCCCCACUCACCGGCAGAAGAGGUUUCUCAGGGCUACCUGAGAUGCUGUCUCCUGAAGGCUUUAGUCCUAAUUUUGCCCAAAUAAAACUUAACUCUCAG
rnacentral:lncRNA from 1 species